GUUUGAGCAAAAAGGAAAAGACCGUCCCUUCCGACAGCGCAGCAAAGUGACUAAGUGACUCCGAAGAAAUGAUGGUGAUACUGGAAUUGAUCGUGGACAUCACUUCGGUUCAAGGUUGAAGUUAAAAGGUCUUUUUGAGGCUUAGAAGAAGCAGGUAUUAAGUCAUGAUGCAGGAAUCUGCGACAGAGACAAUAAGCAACAGUUCAAUGAAUCAAAAUGGAAUGAGCACUCUAAGCAGCCAAUUAGAUGCUGGCAGCAGAGAUGGAAGAUCAAGUGGUGACACGAGCACUGAAGUAAGCACAGUAGAACUGCUGCAUCUGCAACAACAGCAGG